GCCGUAGGGAAACCGAGUCUUAAUAGGGCGUCUAGUUGCAGGGUAUAGACCCGAAACCGAGUGAUCUAUCCAUGAGCAGGUUGAAAGUGACGUAACAGUUACCGGAGGACCGAACCCACUGUCGUUGAAAAGCCAGGGGAUGACUUGUGGAUAGGGGUGAAAGGCUAAUCAAACUCGGUGAUAGCUGGUUCUCCCCGAAAGCUAUUUAGGUAGCGCCUCGGACGAACACCAUUGGGGGUAGAGCACUGUUUCGGCUAGGGGGUCAUCCCGACUUACCAAACCGAUGCAAACUCCGAAUACCGAUGAGUGAUAUCCGGGAGACAGACGGCGGGUGCUAACGUCCGUCGUCAAGAGGGAAACAACCCAGACCGCCAGCUAAGGCCCCAAAUUCCUAGUUAAGUGGGAAACGAUGUGGGAAGGCACAGACA
rnacentral:rRNA from 1 species